GGAAAGAUAGAACCGUCGGAAGAUUCAUAAAUCAAACCCUCCCCAAGCUGAGCUGUGCUAAUCUGGAGCAAGAACAGAUCCUCCCUCCCUUUGUAAAACUUGUUCAAAAUCAACUUCACCUGAUCGAGAUUGCUGAGGUGGAUACAGCCAGUACUGCGGUCGAGAUCGCCGCCUAGGGUUUCGCCGGUCUUUUGCAGCUCCUCCCAUUCGGAUUCGGUGCUCACGCGG
rnacentral:misc_RNA from 1 species